rnacentral:rRNA from 1 species
CGCGUAGGUGGUAGUGCAAGUCUGAGGUGGGAUCCCAGGGCUUAACCCUGGAACUGCCUUGGAAACUGCACUACUUGAGUCAGUGAGGGGAGGGUAGAAUUCCUGGUGUAGCGGUGAAAUGCGUAGAUAUCAGGAGGAAGGCCGGUGGCGAAGGCGGCCCUCUGGCGCUGAACUGACACUGAGGCGCGAAAGCGUGGGUAGCAAACAGGAUUAGAUACCCUGGUAGUCCACGCCCUAAACGGUGGGUACUAGGUGUAGGGCUCGUAAGGGUUCUGUGCCGAAGCGAAAGCAUUAAGUACCCCGCCUGGGGAGUACGGCCGCAAGGUUGAA